rnacentral:rRNA from 1 species
AUGCACCGCCUCCUCCCUCCUCGCGGCUGCCUGCUCCGACGCCUGUCCACGGCCGCCGCAGCCUCGCCCCAUCCACCGCGGCGCCCGCUGGCCGAUUCACUCUACCGCCGCGUCACUGCCGUAUGGAACCCGCGCCUCCCGCUGACUCCCGUGCUGGAGCAAUGGGCGGUCACGGAGGGCCGGGCCGUCGAGAAGAACAGCCUCAUGUCCAUCGUCAAGCAGCUCGUCCGCCUCCGCCGCUUCUCCCACGCGCUCGAGCUGUCAAUGUGGAUGACCGACCGGCGGUACAUGUACCUGUCGCCUGGCGACGUCGCGUACCGGCUGGAGCUGAUCAGCAAGGUGAAAGGCCUCGAGAGUGCCGUGAACUACUGGAAGGGCUUGUCGAUCCAGGUGAAGAACUCUCAUUGCUACGGAUCCCUCCUGAAAUGCUAUGCGGAGGCAAAAUCCGUCGACGAGGCCGAAAAGCUCUUCGCGGAGAUGCAUGACUUGGGAAUGAUGAGUUCAUAUCCUUACAAUGUGAUGAUGAAGCUUUACUGGGAGACCGGGCAGGUUGAGAGGGUGCACGCCAUGUACAGGGCCAUGGAAGAGAGCAGCAUCAAGCCUGAUGUAUUCAGUAUCAACAUUCUGUUGACGGUGCUCGCAGCUGCUGGAAAUUUUGAUGGCAUUGAGGAAAUUGUCAAGAAGGUCGACCCGAAGAUCGUGAAUUGGCACUCACAUGCCAUUGUAGCCAGGGCUUUCAUGGAAGCCGGGCAGCAAGGAAAGGCCUUGCGAGCUAUCCAGGAAUCAGAAAAGCAGAUAGGUCGGAAGGAUGAGAGGGUUGCAUAUGGGUUCUUGCUUUCCAUGUUUGCUGAUUUGGGAAUGAGUAGUGAGGCGGACCGGGUUUGGAAUGUCUACAAGUCCAAAGUGCCGGUAUGCAACUCGAUGUACAUGUGCAGGAUAAGUGGGCUGCUUAAGAUGAAUGACAUUGAUGGUGCUGAGAAAGCCUUUAGAGAGUGGGAAAGUAGGUAUGUUCACCAUGAUAUCCAGUUAACAAACUUACUGCUAAAUGCUUACUGCGCCAAAGGUCUUAUGGAGAAGGCAGAAACUUUCCUGGAUGAAGCCAUCGCCAAAGGGAGGACACCUCACCGUGGUACUUGGUAUAGGUUGGCUAGUGGAUUUUUCCAGGACGGCCAGGUGUCGAAGGCGGUGGAUAUGACAAGGAAAGCUCUUGCUUGUGCGUCUUCUCGAUGGGAACCUGACCUAACAAAUGUGCUAAUGAGCCUGGAACAUUUCAUGGAGCAAAAGAAUGUUGAAGCAGCCGAGGAGAUGGCAAGCCUGCUACGGAAUUUAGUACCUUUGACAAGGGAUGUUUACCACAUUUUACUAGAGACAUAUGUUCAUGCAGGACAACCAGUGUCAGAUUUACUUGAUCGCAUGAAAAAAGAUGGUUUUGAGGCUGAUGAAGAAACAGAUAAAAUCAUCGCUGGAAUAUGCCAGUAG